CUUGUUAACAGCCACAACUUCUGGAGGACAAGCAGGAUGCAGUAAUCGUAUUAGGAGAAAGCAGUUACAAAGGUCAAGAGAUUGAAAGUCUGUUCUUUCUGUUGCCUGCUGCAGAUUUCAACACAAUGUUAUUCUGGCAACAAGGAUGAAAUUGUAUUAAAUUUGAAUUGCCAUAGACACUGUAAAUCCUCCUGGAAAUCCCUACCUAUCCAGACAUAGGCAAAGGAAAAGAUCGAAUCUAAUCCAAGAAACACAGAGAUGCAGAACUUUGAAGGACAAACUAUAUAAUGCAAUAAAAUUCAAUUCAUUAAA